ACUAUUUCAUCGAGAAAAUAUUUCUGCGUAGCAACACGUGUCUUCUGUGUCUUAAACGAAGCAUUUAAUUUUUUCCAGCUGUUCAACCACGUUAAAAAUUUCUAUGCCAAUUUCAAGCUGAUUUUUCGUACCUACUGAGGACAUUAGCCACCUGACACAACCCGCUUAGCAACGCACGUCACGUAAAUUUUUCAAAAUAAUGUAUUGCUAACAAAUUUUUAUACAGCUCCGUUAACAGUUCUGUGACAUUGUCCUUAUGCACGGGAAUACGAAAUUACAGCCAACAUGUACGUUACAUGUAAUAUCGUAUUUGUUGAACUUGGGUGCUAACGAACUGAUUAACU